CUGUUAAAUGCCAGGAGCUUAGUGAAAGCAGCCACAUUUUGAACUGAAGAGCUCCCAGGCUAUGUGCGCAAGUGAGACAGCGUGAGGUGGCAUUUGCUCCUGCUGGAACUUCGGCUCCUAAAAUCCCAGCCAGAUCAGCAACUACAACAUCAUGAGCAAGGAUACAAACACUUUAUCUGUCAGAAGUAAAAGUGCAUCAGAAGAAACACUGUACCAUCAAAACGAAGAAGGCAUGGCUCUCCAAGGAACGGACCAGUAUCGUGUUAGGAGGUUGUCCUGUCGUAACCUCCAGCUUCCUCCUUUGGCAUUUAGACAGCUGGAGCAGGUAGACUGGGACAAAAAGGCUGACCCAGAGAUGGUGCAGAGGCCCACCAACCUUCCACUGAAAACUCUCCCUCUAAUUGCUAUUACUGCUGCGGAGACUGACAGGUAAACCUUGAUUUGGAAGCCUGUGCUUUGGCAGCCAUGUUCCUGGUUGCAUGUGAUAAAAACUUUUGACUCUUAAUCAUGGAGCAAAUUAAGGCAGUUUGCCUCUAAUGAAAGGCAUCUUAAAAAUAUAUUAAUAUAAAAGCGGUUUUAAAAUAGUCAUUUUGGUAAGAGGGGCAGAAAAGAGAAGCAAAAGAUGCAGGGUUAAAAAAAAUCAAAACAAAACACCAUCAUUUAUGCUACCUAGUUCUCUGGUUAAUGCUGAGAACACGGUACAAGAAUAAAUUGAGUUUAAAAAGAUUAACUAUUUCUUUGCCUUCCCUCUCCACUAAUGCUUUAUGUGUGGUGUAAAACAGGAGCAGGGAGACUGUAAUCCACAAAAGCUUGUUGAACUCUUAAGUCCAAAUGGCCCUAGCCAGCAUAGCCAAUGUUGAGGAGCAUUGAGUUUUAUAAUUCAGUUUUUGGAAAGUUCACUUGUCUCAUUUGAAACAAAUUCAGUGGUUUGGAAAAGCCAUGUGACUCCAUUUUCCUAGAACUGUAUCAUCCAGAGAGUUUAAAUGCUCCUCCCUAUCAAAACUAAGACAACUGUAUCCAUGACUCUUAAUGCCUUCUUAAAUCAUCACUUCAGAUUGGCAGAUAAUCUGCUUCUUGGAAGUAUAGUUUAAACUGGCUACCAGACAUGGUGACAGCAUGUUAUCUAUAUUAUGCCUGAGUGGCUGGGAUUACUAUAGAUGGGGGGAACGCUACCAAGAGAGAUGAUAAAGACAAGGAUUAUCCAUCACAGGGACAGCUAUCAUGCACAUUCACCUGUACUAUUGAAGAUAGCCUAACGUCAUAUAGCCUCUGAGCUAAAAUGCAUAUGGCUGGGCAGGUGCUGGGUAGCUGGUUAAACCAGAUAGAAGCGACCCAUUUUUUUCCAUUCCUGUUCACAAGUCUGGUUGUGAUUCCCAUUGUUGAACUGAUCUCAUAAGUCAGGAAUAUUUAUAGCUAUGGCAAAGACACAGAGUUGCAUAUUCUUUGUUAAGCUCAGUACCUCCUCUUGAUGUGGGAGAAAGAGGAAGCAUCAGCACAAAAUAUUAAAUAUGUCUAUCACACUUGAGGAUUCCUAAAACAAGACACAGAUGAAGGAGUUUAAAUUUGAAAAUAUACAUCUGAGAAGUAUGAUGAAUUACAUAUGAGAUCACUCCAGCCAAUCUGUAGAAUAGCAAAAUGCUGAAGGAAAUAUUAUAGAUUAAUGCGAGAAAAAUAUUGUAUACAACUGAUGAGUGAAUAGAAGCUAGUAUUACAUUUUGAAGAAAGGAAUGCACUGCACAUAAAAUUAAUAUGUUUCUCCAGGGAAGUCAAAACAACAUUUUAUUAAAAGGGGAUAUGCUGAUUGCCACAGAUGUGUUGGGAGAGGUGACACAUGCAAAGCUUCUCACAGCAUGCAAAUCUUGCCGCAUAUCACAGAAAAUG